GAUGAACGCUGGCGGCGUGCCUAAUACAUGCAAGUCGAGCGAACAGACGAGGAGCUUGCUCCUCUGACGUUAGCGGCGGACGGGUGAGUAACACGUGGAUAACCUACCUAUAAGACUGGGAUAACUUCGGGAAACCGGAGCUAAUACCGGAUAAUAUAUUGAACCGCAUGGUUCAAUAGUGAAAGACGGUUUUGCUGUCACUUAUAGAUGGAUCCGCGCCGCAUUAGCUAGUUGGUAAGGUAACGGCUUACCAAGGCAACGAUGCGUAGCCGACCUGACAGGGUGAUCGGCCACACUGGAACUGAGACACGGUCCAGACUCCUACGGGAGGCAGCAGUAUGGAAUCUUCCGCAAUGGGCGAAAGGUUGACGGAGCAACGCCGCGUGAGUGAUGAAGGUCUUCGGAUCGUAAAACUCUGUUAUUAGGGAAGAACAAAUGUGUAAGUAACUAUGCACGUCUUGACGGUACCUAAUCAGAAAGCCACGGCUAACUACGUG
rnacentral:rRNA from 1 species